rnacentral:rRNA from 1 species
GACGAACGCUGGCGGCGUGCCUAAUACAUGCAAGUAGAACGCUGAAGGAGGAGCUUGCUUCUCUGGAUGAGUUGCGAACGGGUGAGUAACGCGUAGGUAACCUGCCUGGUAGCGGGGGAUAACUAUUGGAAACGAUAGCUAAUACCGCAUAAUAGCAGUUGUUGCAUGACAACUGUUUGAAAGGUGCAAUUGCACCACUACCAGAUGGACCUGCGUUGUAUGAGCUAGUGGGUGGGGUUACGGCUCACCAAGGCGAGGAUACAGAGCCGACCGGGGAGGGGGGUCGGCCACCCUGGGACUGUGACACGCCCCAGACGCCUACGGGAGGCAGCAGUAGGGAAUCUUCGGCAAGGGACGGAAGUCUGACCGAGCUACGCCGCGUGAGUGAAGAAGGUUUUCGGAUCGUAAAGCUCGGUUGUAAGAGAAGAACGAGUGUGAGAGUGGAAAGUUCACACUGUGACGGUAUCUUACCAGAAAGGGACGGCUAACUACGUG